AUGGCAGAUUAGUGCAAAGGACUUAAAAACCUUAUAUAAAGAU
rnacentral:tRNA from 2 species